rnacentral:rRNA from 1 species
GCCCAAUGAAUUUUAAAUGGCCGCAGUAUCUUGACUGUGCAAAGGUAGCAUAAUCAUUUGUUUCUUAAUUGGAAACUAGAAUGAAAGAGUUGACGAAAGAUAAUCUUUUGAUAAAAUAAAUAAAAUUAACAUAAAGGUUAAAAGGCCUUUAUUUACCAGAGGGACGAUAAGACCCUAUAAAACUUUACCUUUAAGAGAAACUUGAAAGAUUAGUUUUAUAAUUAAGGUUGAACUGGGGCGGUAUUUAUAAAAACAAUAAGAUUUUUAAUACUUAUAGUAAAUUUAGAGAACUCGAUUGAGAAAAUUUAAAUAAGUUACUUUAGGGAUAACAGCAUAAUUUUCUUUGAGAGUCCUUAUCGGCAAGGAAGAUUAUGACCUCGAUGUUGAAUUGAAAAUCCUUUUAGAAGCAGAAAUUUAGAAAGGUAGUCUGUUCGACUAUUAAAUUUUC